GUGAACGCUGGCGGUAGGCCUAACACCUGCAAGUCGAACGGCAGCACAGUAAGAGCUUGCUCUUACGGGUGGCGAGUGGCGGACGGGUGAGGAAUACAUCGGAAUCUACUUUUUCGUGGGGGAUAACGUAGGGAAACUUACGCUAAUACCGCAUACGACCUACGGGUGAAAGCAGGGGAUCUUCGGACCUUGCGCGAUUGAAUGAGCCGAUGUCGGAUUAGCUAGUCGGCGGGGUAAAGGCCCACCAAGGCGACGAUCCGUAGCUGGUCUGAGAGGAUGAUCAGCCACACUGGAACUGAGACACGGUCCAGACUCCUACGGGAGGCAGCAGUGGGGAAUAUUGGACAAUGGGCGCAAGCCUGAUCCAGCCAUACCGCGUGGGUGAAGAAGGCCUUCGGGUUGUAAAGCCCUUUUGUUGGGAAAGAAAAGCAGCAGGUUAAUACCCCGCUGUUCUGACGGUACCCAAAGAAUAAGCACCGGCUAACUUCGUG
rnacentral:rRNA from 1 species